CUGAGAGUUUGGAAACCGGACAAAACUUUCAGACACCAUGGAUUUCUCAGCAGGGAGAAUCAUCUACUACACUUCACUGCCACCACUAGGUGUCGCUGCGCCCUAAUUCAACAUGCUGACGUGCUGCACUGGGAUUGGAGAGGAGAAGAUUGUGCGUUGUUUAAAAAGUGGAAGAACGAUAUGUCAGGAGGAAUGUGGAUAUGUGGUGUGUCUGUGAUUGAGUGCAUACUAUUGAGUAGCGAAUAUUUUUCCCUGUGUUUGAGUGAAAUCGCUUGCUUGUUGUAUUGUGGGUGAAUAAAAGAAGUGAGUGGUAGGAUAUUGUGUUGUCCCAUUCCCCUGUUUUGUCUUUUGUUGUGGCUGAGUGUACGCCUUUAUUGUAAAUAUAUCUUUCAUUGUAAAUAUUUCUUCUCUACUCAUCACGAAAGUGGGAGGGGUUGGGUGCUGUUUAUUUUUGGGUGUAUCUUUUGUUCACUGUUUUUUCCUCAGUUAGGGAGUCAGGUUAGACUCUGUAUUUUCUUUUGAAAUACCUUUUUUUGUUAGGUAAUUUAAAUAUGGGACAAGAUAGUGACUGUUCUGUUUAUUAUUUUGGCCUUGCCCAGCCCUGAAGAGAUUAGUUU
ensembl:lncRNA